rnacentral:rRNA from 1 species
CGGCAUUGAGUGCUUGCACUCUUUGGACGUCGACCGGCGCACGGGUGAGUAACGCGUAUCCAGCCUUCCCAUUACUGUGGGAUAACCUGCCGAAAGGCAANCUAAUACCGCAUAGUCUUCGAUGAUGGCAUCAGAUUUGAAGUAAAGAUUUAUCGGUAAUGGAUGGGGAUGCGUCUGAUUAGCUUGUUGGCGGGGUAACGGCCCACCAAGGCAACGAUCAGUAGGGGUUCUGAGAGGAAGGUCCCCCACAUUGGAACUGAGACACGGUCCAAACUCCUACGGGAGGCAGCAGUNAGGAAUAUUGGUCAAUGGACGGAAGUCUGAACCAGCCAAGUAGCGUGCAGGAUGACGGCCCUAUGGGUUGUAAACUGCUUUUGUAUGGGGAUAAAGUUAGGGACGUGUCCCUAUUUGCAGGUACCAUACGAAUAAGGACCGGCUAAUUCCGUGCCAGCAGCCGCGGUAAUACGGAAGGUCCAGGCGUUAUCCGGAUUUAUUGGGUUUAAAGGGAGCGUAGGCUGGAGAUUAAGUGUGUUGUGAAAUGUAGACGCUCAACGUCUGAAUUGCAGCGCAUACUGGUUUCCUUGAGUACGCACAACGUUGGCGGAAUUCGUCGUGUAGCGGUGAAAUGCUUAGAUAUGACGAAGAACUCCGAUUGCGGAGGCAGCUGACGGGAGCGCAACUGACGCUUAAGCUCGAAGGUGCGGGUAUCAAACAGGAUUAGAUACCCUGGUAGUCCGCACAGUAAACGAUGGAUGCCCGCUGUUGGUACCUGGUAUCAGCGGCU